rnacentral:lncRNA from 1 species
ACCUGGCCCCCAUUGGGACUUAACUUUGAAAAGGAAAAGAAGAGCAAAAGAUGAUGAUGUCGUAAGCCUUAGCAGCCUUGAUCUGAAGGAGGGCGAGUGCUGGGGGUUUUGUUUGGGGUCUCUUUGCGCUUCGCAUUUUUUAAAUGUAAAACUGAAUAAUAUUGGCUCUUGCAGAUAGUUCGCCUUCUUUGUUAAGAAUGAGCAGAAAAUCUCCCGCAAAACAAUGUUGGCCGAUAGUGGUGUCUCAGACUCCCCUGCCUGCAGAGACCAGGCCUGUGGUUUGUGCACAGAAGGGAGAGGGACGGAGGGCACCGCACCGCUGCUGCUGUGCUCCAGCCCACUGCUGGAGGCGGGAUUGUCCACAUCUGGGCUCUGUGUGAAAUCUCCUAAAUUUUAAAUGUGGGAUUUUUUUUCUAAAAAAUCAUGAAGACCAAACAACUUGUCUAGAGGCCAGAUGUGGCCCAGGGGUUUCUGGAGUGUGACACAUGAUAAACUAAAGCUCAAUGCACACGUCAAAACAAUUAUGUAUAUUCUUCUGUAAAGUUGUAGUUAAGUCCAAAAAUCUGGUAUCUUUGGAAUUAUUUAUUUCAUUUUUUGUCAGUUGGCAAGUUUUACAGAACCAUGUUAGUUUUAAGAAAUCUUUUUAAAAAGAUUGUUACGAAAAGUUAUACAUUUUAAGUGAGAUUUUUAAAAAAAGUUUGACAUCACAUUUAAUGAUGACAGCCUCUGCUUAUUUUUAACAAUAAGCUAUCUUCUAAAAAUUAAAUUUUUAUAGGUCUGCUCAUCAAAAGUUGAGCAAAUCUGGCAAGCCAGAUUUUUUGGAGGGUGUGUACAUAAUGUCUUUAUAGAAGAAUUUAGGCUUUUUGCAAAACAACUUUAGUUGCAUUUUCUUAAAUCUUGUUUUCAAAGAAAGAAAAAGGUGUUGUAGUUAAAUUGAGCCUCUAUCGUUCCUCUUUAUUAACUGGACUACUUCUGUAAAGAGAAACUUCCCUUCGUCAACCAUCUGGUUAUGCCAAGGUACUGAUUUAUAAUAAAGGCAGGCCAAGUACUUGAUUCCUUCCUUUUACUAGUUUUCAAAAAUUAUGGAUUUUCUUCAUUUGAAUUCUCUAAAAGUAAGUAAUGAUUUUUUUCUCUUUUGAUAUGUUACGAACUCAUGGAUGUGGACACAUUUGAUAUGCCUCGAUCCACUUUAAUUAUUAGUUUUACUGUGCUCGCAUUAUCCCGUCUUUGACCAUGGUUGCUGCCUCAAGGUGGCACCUUUGUCCUUUGCUCCCCAAGCUUUAAGAUGUAGCUGACAUAGGACAUCGUGUAAAUUUAAGUGUGCAGCGUGUUGAUUUCCUGUGUCCUUUUGUCACGGCUCUUGCCUCAGAUCUAGAAGCUGAAUAAAUAGCCUCCUUUUCUUCCUGGAUGACAAGUUAUUCCAGGCCUACCUACUUUUUUUUUUCUCUCUGCUCCACACCUGGAAUCAGUCAUUUCCAAAAGCCCUAGUUUUAGAGGCUAAAAUCGGGGCACGAGGAGCACUUGUUGCUACUAAUCGAUCAUUGUUUCUAGGCCUUUUAAUGGGCAGAGCUAGAAAACAUAUAUGCUUUUGAGAUAAACUAACUCAUGAGUUUAUAUUGCGAUUUUUAAAGUCAGUGCUAAAGGGUCUUUUUCUUAAUCUCCUUAAUCUUAACAAUCUAGAUCUUUUUCAACUAUACCAACAAUCUGGGUUCUAUGAGACAAAAUUACUCUCGAUUUACUCAUGAGUUAGUUCUUUGCUAUGUGUAAUUAUGCCAAUGCACUUUUUUAUUUGCAAGAUUUAAGAAUUACUCCUUUUUAAAUUUUUCUUAGAAUUGUGUAACAAAAUUGUAUAUAGUUUUAAAGUCAGCUCUACAAGAUUCUUGUUUCUAUCCCUGGCUCCUCUCCUCUACUUCUUUCUUCUGUACAAAAUGUUUUUGGUUUCUUUCACCAAUUUUAUGGUUUAUUCUUCCACUUUUUAAAGUCAUAAGCAGUUGCAUGUAUGUUUAUGUAUCCCACUUUUUUGAUAAACAGUAGCAUACUGUCUUUCAUUACAUGUUCUAUUUUUACACUCUUUUUGGUUUUGCUUGUAUGUUUUGCUAUAUCUUUCAGUAUUUGGAAGAUUCAUGGUUUUGUUCUGUCGGUUGUCUUUAUGGGAUGCCUUCAGUCCCCUCUCUUUGGCUGCGGUAAAUUUGUUCAUUCCCGUGAGCGUUAUUUUAAUCAACCAGCACCUCUUCUCCUUCCUCUCUUCUCCUUGUUUUCUGAGGUCUUUCUUUCUGCUCCCCGUCUCUUUUAUCUGGACUUCUUCUUGUCUUUGCUUCUGUUGCCCUGUUCUGCUCAAUUUGGACCCUACUCCUAGCGGUUUUUCUCAGUGCAGUGUUCUUUUCAAGAGUUUCUAUGGCCAAGGGCGACUGUUGCAGCACCAGUAAACCUUGUUACCUGGCAGUGUCCUUGCCCUUGGCCUAAGGCUUUGGUCCUCGGAGUCCUUCCCAGUUUAGAGCGCUGUUCUCAGACUAGGGUGCCAUGGUAGGGGUUCCCUACUCUUGGGACCAUCAGAGAAGCCCUGCUGCCCUCCCUCUCCUUCUCUGUCAGAUACUGAAACCCUGUGAGUCUCGUAGCUGUUCCGUGUGCCUCCAUUAGAGCAACAGAAGGUUUGGGGGAAACACGUUCUCUUUUUUGGUGUAUAUUUUAGGUUUUCUGUGUUCUUUGUUACUUGCUACAUCUCUUUUUUUUUUCCUUUAAAGAGGGAACGCCUGUCAAAGAUUAACACAUGGAUGAGUGACCUAACAGAAUGGUAAAGCUGGUGCGAGGCGGUGCGAGGACUAUAGGAAACACUGAAGCAUUCUAAUCCCAGAGAGAGGUGGAAUAAGAUUGCUACAUUUUAUACGAGACAGAUCAAUGUCCCCAUCUGCAUCUCUGCCUACAGAAUGUAUUUGCAUUGCUACAGAAUUAACAUCUACCUUGACAGAGUUGGU